AUGAAAGGAAUCUUUUGGAAUAGCAGAGGUCUAAAGGACUUGGCUAAAACAAGGUUUCUUGCUGAGGCAUCUGUCGAGCAUCGUUUAGAUUUUAUCGCUCUAUCGGAGACGGGUAGAGAUAACUUUGCGCCUCAAUUUCUAAGUACUCUGUCAGGGGGUAUAGAUUUUGAUUGGCAUUGCUUGCCUCCGAGAGGGAGAUCGGGUGGAAUCUUACUCGGCGUUAGGUGCGAAACGCUUGAGGUUCGCAGUGUGGUUAUGGGUGACUUUGCAGUCAAGUUCCGGGUAUGGUCGAAGGAAGAUUGGUUUAAUUGGGCCCUGGUUGCGGUAUAUGGGGCUGCGCAACCCGAGCUCAAGCCCGAGUUCUUGUCUGAUCUCGUUCGGAUUUGUGGUUCCGAGAAGUUGCCUAUCCUGGUGGGGGGUGAUUUCAAUAUUAUUAGAAGGCGUGAGGAUAAGAACAAUGACAACUUUGACGGCAGAUGGUCGUUCAUGUUCAAUACGAUUAUUGAAAGUUUGAACCUGAGAGAAAUUGAGCUCUCGGGUAGAAAAUUCACCUGGGCUAACGCGCUGCCAAAUCCGACGUAUGAGAAGUUGGAUCGAGUGUUGGCCAGUGUCGAUUGGGAACAGAAGUUCCCUCUAGUAACAGUCCAGGCCUUGACCCGCGGUAUUUCUGACCACACGCCGUUAUUUGUGGACUCGGGUGAGCCCUCCCACCUAGGGAACAAGAAUGUGUUCUCCUUUGAGAUGGCUUGGUUUGAACGUGAAGGCUUCCUUGAUCUUGUGGCUAGAGAGUGGGCUAAGGAUUCAGGAGGGAAGACUGCGCUUCAGCGCUGGCAGAAUAAGAUUAGGCAUUUGAGGAGUUUCCUGCGUGGAUGGGCUAAGCAUCUUAGCGGGAUUUAUAAGGUCGAAAAGGAAAGGCUCCUUUCCCUUAUUCAGUCCCUGGAUUUAAAAGCAGAAACAACGAUACUGCCGGCCGCGGAGCUUCAUGCCAAGCUUGACGCGGAAUUGCGGCUGAAAGAACUUCUUAGGGAAGAAGAGUUGAAGUGGGCAUUGCGGGCCAAGGUCCGGUGA
rnacentral:rRNA from 1 species